rnacentral:rRNA from 1 species
AAGUCGUAACAAGGUUUCCGUAGGUGAACCUGCGGAAGGAUCAUUACUGAACUGUCGACACGAGUUGUUGCUGGUCCUCAAACGGGGGCAUGUGCACGCUCUGUUUACACACCCACUCACACCUGUGCACCCUCUGUAGUUCUGUGGUGUGGGGGACUCUGUCCUCCCGCUGUGGUUCUAUGUCUUUACACACACACUGUAAUAAAGUCUUAUGGAAUGUGUACCGCGUCUAACGCAAUACAAUACAACUUUCAGCAACGGAUCUCUUGGCUCUCGCAUCGAUGAAGAACGCAGCGAAAUGCGAUAAGUAAUGUGAAUUGCAGAAUUCAGUGAAUCAUCGAAUCUUUGAACGCACCUUGCGCCCUUUGGCUAUUCCGAAGGGCAUGCCUGUUUGAGUAUCAUGAACACCUCAACUCUCAUGGCUUGCCAUGAUGAGCUUGGACUUUGGGGGUCUUGCUGGCCUACAGCCAGCUCCUCUCAAAUGAAUCAGCUUGCCAGUGUUUGGUGGGAUCGCAGGUGUGAUAACUAUCUACGCUUGUGGCUUUCCACCAGGUAACCUUCAGUGAUGGAGGUUCGCUGGAGCUCAUAAAUGUCCCUCCUCAGCGAGGACAGCUUCUUUUAAUGUUUGAUCUCAAAUCAGGUAGGACUACCCGCUGAACUUAAGCAUAUCAAUA